rnacentral:ncRNA from 1 species
ACAGUACAAACUGAUCAGGCCGAUGAAUGACUUUAAUUUAUGGAGCCGGGCCUUAAUUGGCAACAGGACUUAAAUACCUGUGGGACAGU